AACGAACGCUGGCGGCAUGCCUAACACAUGCAAGUCGAACGAGACCUUCGGGUCUAGUGGCGCACGGGUGCGUAACGCGUGGGAACCUGCCCUUAGGUUCGGAAUAACUCCCCGAAGGGGGUGCUAAUACCGGAUAAUGUCUUCGGACCAAAGAUUUAUCGCCUUUGGAUGGGCCCGCGUUGGAUUAGCUAGUUGGUAGGGUAAAAGCCUACCAAGGCGACGAUCCAUAGCUGGUCUGAGAGGAUGAUCAGCCACACUGGGACUGAGACACGGCCCAGACUCCUACGGGAGGCAGGAGUGGGGAAUAUUGGACAAUGGGCGAAAGCCUGAUCCAGCAAUGCCGCGUGAGUGAUGAAGGCCUUAGGGUUGUAAAGCUCUUUUACCCGGGAUGAUAAUGACAGUACCGGGAGAAUAAGCACCGGCUAACUCCGUG
rnacentral:rRNA from 1 species